UUGGCCGUCGAUUUGAACUAAUCAAACCCUCCCUUAUAACUGUCUGAACCCGGCCCCAAACCCUAGAGAUCCUCUCCACUUCCCCAAUCUCCCUCACCUCUUUCAUGCCCUAUCAAAGCCGCCGCCGGAAUCUCUUAUGGCGGCGGCACCACUCUAAACACUACCAAAUUAACAUCAGACAACCUCCGUCUUCUCCUCUUUCCAAAUAUCCUAACCUCGCCCUCGGAAACCCACUAGAACUCGCCCAAUAUUAGAUCUUAAUUUCCAGAAAAACCCGAGUUCGUCCCCUCUCUAACUCUCAACGAUUUGCUAGUCAUUUUGGCUUACGUGAAUCGAUUGUUUUCGACAAGCAAUCAAUAUACGUUAGUUUCGAUUUAUUUUGAAGCCACCAGAAUCCGUUCGAACCUCAUUGGUUGGCCAUUUUCUCCUCCAGUGUGUGUUCCAUUAGUUAGUACAUUCAUGAGGAUGAGGUAUAAAUCCUGUUUACUGUUGACGUUUUUAACCUAUGAUGAUGGAGUUUAAGUGUGGAAUUCAAGUUGAAAUCAAAGGCAUGAAGAGUCAUAAGUCAAUUGUUUAGUUCCAAGUGUUGCUACCCAUUUUAAUUUUAGAAAUAGAGAGUUUCAGUACGUAGAAGUGCUCAUUUUAGUACUGUGUAUAAUUUGAAACGUUCAUGUGUUAGGGUUUGUAACUAAUUUUAUUAUUCUUGUGGUGUAUGAAAUGAUUAUGUGUUAAAAAAUCCGUCGUUCGGUAA